GACGUAGGAUGCGAGCGUUGUCCGGAUUUAUUGGGCGUAAAGAGUUCGUAGGUGGUUUGUUAAGUCUGAUGUUAAAGACUGGGGCUCAACCUCGGAAAUGCAUUGGAUACUGGCAGACUCGAGUGUGGUAGAGGCAAUCGGAAUUCCAGGUGUAGCGGUGAAAUGCGUAGAUAUCUGGAAGAACACCGGUGGCGCAAGCGGAUUGCUGGGCCAUAACUGACACUGAGGAACGAAAGCUAGGGGAGCAAAUGGG
rnacentral:rRNA from 1 species